GGCUGGGCCUGCACGAGCCAGUGUGAGCCAAGGAGGUGCCUGAAGCCCCGGGGGGUCACCUUCCUCCAGAGGCCCCUGUGUCUAGCCCACUCCGAGGCUCCCAGCAUCAAGGACAGGCCCCAGCUUCCGAAGUACUGAAGGAGUGAAUGCGCGAAUAAAGGAGCCAGCUGAGCAGAUCGACAAAAGGUGGUAUACAUGGAGAACCGCAUACACUGAUCACUGGUCUCCGUGCUCAUUCAUUCAUUCAAUGAAUACCUGAGGGAUGGGAGGACCUUCCAUGGAAGUGCCGGGCACACACGGCAGAAGACCAAACCCACAGAGCAAGUGGGUUCCAAGAGUGCACUGGGGGAACUUCCUGGUGGACCAGUGGUUAGGACCCCACACUGCAGUGGGGGCAUGGGCUUGAUCCCACAUCCCGAGCAGUAUGUUCGAAAAAAGAAAAGAGAAGACAAAGACACGAAUGAGCUCACUUACAUAUGGAAUUUAGAAAACCCACCAAAUUUAUAGAAAAACAGAUCAUAUUUGUAAUUACCAGAGGCACGGGUGGGCUGAGGGGGAAUUGGAGAAAG
ensembl:lncRNA